rnacentral:rRNA from 1 species
GCAGCAGCCGCGGUAAUACGAAGGGGGCUAGCGUUGCUCGGAAUGACUGGGCGUAAAGGGCGCGUAGGCGGCGAUCAAAGUCAGGCGUGAAAUUCCUGGGCUCAACCUGGGGGCUGCGCUUGAUACUUGGUUGCUUGAGUGGGGAAGAGGGUCGUGGAAUUCCCAGUGUAGAGGUGAAAUUCGUAGAUAUUGGGAAGAACACCGGUGGCGAAGGCGGCGACCUGGUCCCUGACUGACGCUGAGGCGCGAAAGCGUGGGGAGCAAACAGGAUUAGAGACCCCAGUAGUCCCUGUCUCUUAUAC